GGUCUAAGCAUUUGUCCCGGGAAACCAAGACGGCCAGAGGGUCUUGGUGAAGCGGGCAGGGAGGAUUACACAAAAGGGAGCCUUGCCAUUCCAGGGUCUGAAAGAAACUGAAGGAGGAAAUUCCCUUUCAACAGACCUUUUUAAGGCCACCGAGGUUCUCUUUUCCACGCCUCCCUGAAGGCUCGCCUGGACUGUCCAGCAUGGCCCUGCAAGAU